CUUCCAGUAGAGGGCUGUUCGAGAGCAUGCGCACAACCGCAGCAAGAGAACCUUAUUCCUCCUGUCACAACAUUGAGGGGCAAAACGACAGCCGUGUGGUCUCUGGCUUCUAAUAGAUCUGUGAAGACAUAGAAUGUGAUUGGAAUGGAAGCUCGGAGAAGGAGUCUCUGAUUGGCCGAAAGACUAGGCGGGUGCACAUACCAAACGCCGUGAAGAACUAUUGGAUAUCAGUGAGACGUCAGCUAACCAGCACUACGACCAGGAAUACGACUGUCCCAAAGCGGACCCUUUGCCUGCAUCUCCCAGGGCAUUUGAACUGAUUCCAGAGGCUGACCACAAAACAACGCCGUCGGAGGAGAGGGUGCCGGAGCGGUCUUCUAACAUGGCUAGCUGGGGACAUGCUGUUGGAGUCUGUACAGCCAACAGGAUUUUCAGUCCAUCGUGCCGACAGGAACAAACAUCUCUCUGGUCCACAGACGAUGCAAUCGCCAUCACACUGCACACUGCCCUAUCC
rnacentral:lncRNA from 1 species